rnacentral:rRNA from 1 species
UACGUAGGGGGCAAGCGUUGUCCGGAUUUAUUGGGCGUAAAGAGCUCGUAGGCGGUUUGUUGCGUCGGCUGUGAAAUCCCGAGGCUCAACCUCGGGUCUGCAGUCGAUACGAGCAAACUAGAGUGUUGCAGGGGAGACUGGAAUUCCUGGUGUAGCGGUGAAAUGCGCAGAUAUCAGGAAGAACACCGGUGGUGUAGACGGCUUACUGGACCACGACUGACACUGAGGCACGAAAGCGUGGGUAGCAAACAGG